AGAUCAUUGGAGGCAAAUACGCACCAACACAGACUCAUGUGGACAUAACAGAAACUGCAAUUAUGGAGAUAUCUCUUUAUUUCUUCUCGUAGAUACAAGACUCGCACUGCAUCUGAGGAGAAGACCAGAAUGGACUGGUUUGGCUUCAAGGUAGAGUUCCUCUGGGCUUCCAGGAGAGCUGUCUGGUGGGCUAGAUAACUGUCUGCAGGAGCAGAAGAGCAUCACAAGCCUUCCCAUCUUCUGUCUCACACAUGAGGGCACUUCAAAGCUGCUUUCUCUGCCUGUGAUACUUGCAACUGCAAUCAGUUGCCUCACAGAGGGUUUCCUUGAUGCUGAAUUUGCUGUUUGCAAAUGCCCAGAAAUCUGCUGCUGAAAGGAGGAACAUUAUCCCUUUGCUGUAUGGCUCAAGAAGUUCUUACAAGAAGAGAGACAGCAAGGACAUGGAGUCUGCUGGAUUCCAGGAGAAAAGGUCUGCAGGGCUCCUGGAGGGAAAAUUACCAGGCAGAGAAUGUAUGGAGCUUUCCUGAUCCAGAUUCAGCCAAAUCACUUUCCAUUGUUCUCAGCUUUACUGAUGCACCUCCUCCAGCCUGUGCUGAGUCACUGAUCACAAUUAAAAACCAGCUGCAAUCAUAAAGAGAUGGAUAUUCCCACAAGCAACUGCAUCAGGUGAGAGAUGGUGUAUGGAGCUAGGUUCAUGUGCCAAAUUCUAGUUUGAUCCAUGGAGAAAUACACACCAAUGGAAUGCGAUCACUGAGCCUUGUGCUCUCAACUUGGGACUGGCUGUCUUUCUAAGAGAUAGGUAUUCAUCCCAAGGCAAGGUGUUACCUUGUUCAGGAAUCACCAAGGCUUGCAGGAGAGAGGACUGAAAGAAAAGUUCUGGCUAGUAUUGAGCAGGUGUUAAGAAGAAAGCUGGAUGAAAAGUGCCUGAGGAGUCUUGUGGGCAUGCAGAGGUAAGUAUUUAGCCCCUCAGACAGUAGCCAUUCUUUGAAGGCUCACAUCACCUUCUCUGCAGUCCUGUCUGUGGUGUAGCAGCAACACUCAGCAGUGGGUGGAGGAUGGUGGGUAUGUUACCCACCACACAAGACUUGCGAGAGAGCUGUGUGGCAUCUGCUGCUCCUGCCUGGGCCCUGGGUAUUGGUGUUGCUGAGAGCGCUCAAAAAGAGGAGGGCGUGAGGAUCUCCAGAAUAGGCAGCUGGCAGUUUAAUUUCAGCAGGGGUAGGUACAAGGUAAUGCAAUAUGAAAAAUCAAUUUAAGCGACUUAUGUAACAUGACAGGUCCUAAAUUAUUUAUUUCUUACUCAGGAAAACAUCAAUGCCCUUUUCAGGCUCCUUAAGUGGUAGAAAUCACAAUAGCUAGCACUGAAAAUACUGUAUUAUGAUACCUUCCUAUGAAUUGAAAUUAUAUCUACAAUAGAAAAUAUGUACCCAGAUUUUGUCACUUUUCUGAGGAUAUAUCAGAAAUAGAAGAUGUCUAAAGAUAGUUGAUAUAAAUUAUUAUAAGACCUAAAAGGAUUUAAUGAAGAAAGGUUUACAACUAUUAAUUUAGCGAGAGAGAUGUGACAUGGGAAUGAAAAGAAUAUUGGCAGGGAGAAGGCACAUAAAAUCCCAGCAUUUAUUCUUUAUUAAAAUACCAGAAUGAGAACGAAAACGAUCAUGACUUAAAAUACUGUACCUGAAAUACUAAUAACGGAACACACUGCAUUACACAGUAUGUAACCUGUGGAAUUUGCUGUGUGAAAGCACAACUGGGGCCAAGAGCUUGGGAAGACAUUACUCUCACAUUUUCUAUACAGAAGCAAUAAAAAUAUCAUCCACCCCUACACCAGCUGGGCUAAAAACCUACAUGGGAUAUAAAUCUUCAUUUUGCAUGACAAUAAUUGCUGCGAGCUAGACGAGGAAGCUUAUUGCAUAACUGUCCACUACGAGGGUUUUACUACCUCCCAUGAAGCAUGUGGUGCUGGCUGCUGGUGGAGAUGUGCUGCUGGCAGGGAUGCUGCCGCUUUCCCUUGCCAUCCCUCCUGUUACCCUGCAGCUUUUUCUCUGGAGCAGGUCCUUUAGCUGUGAUUGGGAUCUCUGCAUCAGUGGGAUAGACCACCUUCUUCAGUGCCCACAGCAGUGAGGGCUGUAUUUGGUAUGUGUGGUGUUGCUCUCAUGAGUUGGCUGAAAUGAGACAUGCCUCUCGCCUUGGGAGAUGGGAAAGCUGGGAGUCUUUCCUCUGGUUCCUUGCAGCAGCAAGCUCCAUGGGUAGGAGUCAUCUGCAGAGAAGAUGCCCAUCUGCUGCAGACAUCGGUAUUCCCUUGAGACAGAAAGUUCUGGGGUGAAUCACUGCUGCUGUGAGCAGCCACCACCAGAUAGCAUGAAACAGUUCCUGUAGAUAGCCAGCAUCCAGACUGCAAGUUGGUCUGGAGAGAAGGGCUGGAAGUCUGGCUUUGGCCCAAAAUUUGGUACAGAACUAGUGCAGAGAACCAAAGCUUCUGAUAUUUGAAGCUGGUGCCUGACCUGGAGUUAGGGGCAAUAAAUUUGUGGGCAGUCAUCUCUGGAAAGGCUGAUUCAAAAUGUGGGUGCAACAGGAAAGAAGUGCUGUCUCUUUGCCAAAAGAUGCUUUAUUACCCUUCAUCUGCAGUAUGAUCAGGUGCCAGUCAAGAAUGGGACUGCUGCUCAAGGCAAUGUUCACACAGAGCAGCAGAUACGAAUCUAACAGAUGUGGCUAUUUCAGUGUCUAGAAGUGGAGACAGGGGAACACCGAGGCUGUGGGUUGUCCUAACAUGUAAAAAAAUUAAUGAUUUUCUUCUUAGCCCCUUGUCUGCUGAUUUUCAGGGUAAGACCCUCAACUUUUUCGUGUGAAGAGUAAUUCUGAAAUAUAUUGCAUAUCAAAUACAUUUUUUUUUUAAUUAUUACUUUCUUACAGAAUUGAUUCUCAUAGUGUUUCCAGUUUGGGGAUUUGGGGAAUUACAUUUUGUAUUUCAUUUACAUCUUGGAAUUUCAAAGCAUCAGUUAAAAGUCCUAAUUCAUGUCCUUUUUGUGUUUUACAAUGCUUGCUGCCUGUUUUAGGACAAAGUUUUAAUGCAUGAUAUGACAAAAAAUUUGAAGCCUUCCAUUCUUCUAUUUUUAAGCACAAUUCAAGGCAGCUGUUAUAUAGUACUAAUUUAAAAAAACAACUUAUCUUUCUCUACAGAUCAAAGUGACUUUUGUUUGUAAUGAAACAGUCUGACAAAAAGAAAGUGUCACACUGCUUCAUUACAAAACAAACAGGAGACACUUUGAUCUGUGAAAAAAAGAUAAGGUGUUUUAAUUGGUACUAAAUAGCAGCUGUCCAUCAUGAUUUAAGAAAGGAAAUAAACCAGCAAUAUUUCAAGUAUUUCAUAUGGUGCUGUGCAUGCUGGGGUUCUCAGUAAGUUAAAAAGCAUUACAAUGAGAACUGCAAUAAAAUUUAGAUUUUUUUUUAGAAUUUAUGAAUAUGUAUUUCUGAACAAUAAAGAAGAUGCCCAUAUUGACAUAUUUUGCCAGGGGAAUUUCCACCGAUAUUCGUAUCUGUUUAUUAAAAACAAUGCAUUUAAUAUAAAAAUCUUUUAGGGCAAAAAGCUGCGUUUAAAAACACUUCAGCCUGCUCUGUCUGAAGACACUGGUUUCAGGUGUAGCCAUGCUGGGUGGGGUAUGGAGGUAAAUAACACAAUGCAGAAGCAUCUUCACCACCAUGCUGCUGGCACAUCUGCAGACAGGUGCAGCACAGCACUCCAAGCACAUAUCACCUGGCCUUGCAGCUUGGCUCUUGGCACCCUCUUCCCUGCAUCAUGAAGCCACAUGCAUUCCUGGAGGUGUUGGGGGAAGGCAGAUGAUCUGAGGUCUCAUAGAGAGUGCUGGCUGUUAGGAAGCAGUAACUAAUACCAGUCUUCUCUUCAAGGAACAAGACACCCUCUUAGUGCAAUCCUGCUGAGCUUUUUCAUGUUCCUGGUCCAGGGCAAGUGUUUUGAAGAUGGCUAUGUCAAAUGUUGCCAAAAGCAAUGCAAGUCUGCUCCUAGAAAAACAGUGGUUAUCUAUGUGUAUUUCCACUGAUUCUCCUCAGCUCUCUGUGUUGUGCAAACCGGGAGCAUAAACUGCAGGAGGACCCCAUUGCUGCUAGUGAGGUCUGUCUGAUGGAUGACCAGGCAGUGGGUGAGCAUGUCAAAGGGUCAGUCAAUGGUCUGAGCUAUGGAGUUCAUUUUGUUCUUCUCUUUCACUUUGCUUUUAAGAGGUAAUGAAUUUCCUACAGGAACCCCAUGGAAAAGGUCCUCAAAACAACAUCCUGUGAUCUCAGGGGCAAGCAAACAGAAGUCUCAGUCCAAUUCUUGAACGUCAACUCUGCCCCUUGUUCCCGGAUCAUUGAGAGCUGCUGGGCUCUUGUUUAUCUCACCUUUGGUCCUGCUCUGUGUUUACAGUUAAGCUGUUCAUUCAAGUGCCAUAUAAGUUUGUUAGGAUUUGCUGAGGGAGCAAAGGUCUUCAAGCAGAAGAUGAGAACAGAGGAAAAACAGCCUCUGGCUACCACGCUUCUCCAGGGCUUGCUUCAGAGAUGUUACUCAAGAUGGGUGGCAGCUAAUAAGUAAGGAAAAAAAAGGAGCGGUAGCGGUAAAUUGGCAAAAUCUGGAGGCCUCCAAGACUCCUCUUUGUGGUUGUUUGUGGUUGUCUUCUCAGUGCCUUUAUGAUGGUGAUGAUGCAUUCAUUGCUGAUUUUCCUUCUAGUAUUUUAUCAGGAAUGGUUUUUAUGGUUGCACUAAAUUCUGAAAUACAGAUGGGGUGACUGCUUCUGCUGCCUCACCCCAGCCCUUCACAUUUACAGUCUUCCAUAUUUGUGUUAUAUCUGUAGUAGAUAAUAUAAACAAAUAAAGUGUCAUGGGGAGAAAGUAUACCUUUUGCUUGCACCAAAACACACAAUUAGGAAAAAAUACUAGCUUUAAGGCACAUAAGGGCAGGUUUUCCCUCACUUGCCCAUAUUCUACAGUAACGUAAGACAUCCAAAUUUAGCAUUGUAGUUCUUCAAGGAAGAAAUUAUUGUCAGGCUGGGCCUUUUUGAUAGCAUCCUUGAUAUCUCUGUGAGGAAGUUACAGGCCUCCAAUGCUGUAAGAAUCCCUCAGUCAUUGCUGUGACUGAAAUACAGUGAAAUUAUUUGGGAUGCAAGAAAUUCAGGGAUGUGGCUAAAAGGCACAUGUUUCUUAUGUGUAAACAGAAGUGAGAGCCACUGGAGAGGAAUGUUAACUCGGGCAGGGACUAAAAAAACCCAUCUACAUAAUGAAGGACUGUAAAAAUAUUGUGUGAAAGUGGAAAACAGGUGUUUGUACAAUUUCAAAGGCACCCUUGAAAUAAUAUUUAUGAAGGGUCAGGAGAGGAAAAUUCAUCUGUUUAUCCAGGAAGCCAUGCUGAAUAAAACUGGAAAUAGUAACAACACCAGAGGUCAAGACCAGGUGUGGAUGUCAGGUUUAAACCACUUCCUUCAGGCUGGCAGUAGUGUGAGGGAAGGGGGCCAUGCAGGUGGCUUGGGCCUCGGGGUGUGACUCCAAUGGUGAGAGCAAGCCUAAAGAAGCAAUCUCCUGGAUAGACCAAGAGUUAGUCCCCCUGGUAGGCAGUGUGAUGUAAACCCAAAGAAUUAGAGCUAAGACAGUAGGGUGAGGAAGUGGCUGGAGGAACUGAAGGAAUAAACAUGCUGGAGGUGGAAUUUCAUGUUUUGCUGUAUUUUCCAACUCGUGAGUCUGAGGAAUCACAGCUGGGUUUGUAUGACUGACCCAAGUGGAAGCUGCCCAUAAAGUUACGGAACCCCUGUCCAUAAAGCCCACCUCCAUACCACAUAUGCCCCAGUGACUGUCUUCUGCACAUCCCUUCUGCCCAG